AGGAUAUAAGCAGCAUUACAACAGGCCCCACCAAGCUUACUUUUUCAUGCGUACCCAACGAAUACAUUACAUGUUCAUACUCCAAAAAGAGAGCAUAUUAUAACAUGUACAGCUUGAUGUUCGUUCCAGAAAGCUCUUAAUUUCUCAUAUAUACUAGCAAUAGUACUACUCUUUAUCAUCUUCUUCAUAUAUAAGCAAGCAGAUCGAAGAAGAGAGAGAGAGAUCUAGUACUCAGGGCUAAGUAGAUCGAGAGAUCGAUCGAGAGAGAUGAUGAAUGAACCACCAAAAUAUGCUUAUCCCUACCCUGCUCAAGGUAAGUACUCUUCUUCUUCUUAAUUCUUCUUGAUUAGUUCAUCUCCUUGCUCAACCCUUCCAUAUAUAUAUAUAUAUAUAUAUUCCUCUUAAUUUGAGACACAUAUUUUAAUUUUAAAGGUCUGGGAGUUUUCAUUUUUAGAGUUGAUUUUGAUUAUAUGUAUGUAUAUGGGAUGGAUGGAUGCGAUCGAUGCAGGUAACUAUUACGGCCCUCCGGUAAUGGCACAGUACUAUGCUGCUCCCCCACCCCCACCCCGGAGAGAACCUGGUUUCCUCGAGGGAUGGUAAAUUAACGCUACUACUAACUCCCCUACCUACCUCUCUCACCAACUAAUACAUGAUUAUGAAUUUUCCUGAUUGGGUUGGUGCUAAUAAUAUGUUUUGUUUGAUAUAUAUGUGGUGGUGCUGCGUACACUUGCAGUCUUGCGGCUUUGUGUUGCUGCUGCCUAUUUGAAGAAUGCUGCGAUCUCUCCAUCUUCAUAGGCUAAUAUAUAUAUAUAGAUCAUCACAACAUCAUACGUACCUGGUCCUUGUGUAUAUAGACUACUACUGAAUCAUCAGUGUUUAAAUGAUUCAUUCCAAAUUUAGAUUCUAUAUCAUAUGAUGAUGUAAUGCAUUAAUUCUUGAUCAAUCAAAUUAAAUUUAGUAUCUCUAUUGAUGUUUGAUUUUCUUUUAAUUAAAUAUGCACCAGAUUCUCUCUCAUCCUAUUGAUUAAUCUUUUUCCUUUUCAUGUUUUGUGGAUGGUGUGAUGUUUUUAUUUAAAGCUAUUGUGUGAUGGUUCUUUUUGGGUGCAGUAGUAGGCAAUUGGGUGCUCAACAUAACAGACCGACCAUUCUAUUCAUUCUAUGUGGUCUCUUAUAUAGUUGGGAUUUAUUAUUUGUCUGUGCCAUUAAUUAUUUCCACAUUGUAAAUUAUAUCCUCGAUCAUCAUUAUAUACUUCGUUUAAGUUCUCUUUUCAAAGGAAAAGUACUAGAAAAGUCUUAAGGCCUACCUAAUGAUUUGAUCAAGUGAAUGGUACAUUAAU
rnacentral:lncRNA from 1 species